AAAAAAAACGCCCGAGGGGCAAAAUGGACAUUUUACCCCUCAGCCCAUUAUAGGGGUCUUGAGCGUCCUCCUCAGAGUUCUUGCAAAAGAAAGAAGAGUGAGAGAGAAGGAUUGAGAGAAAGUUUGAGAGAGAAAACUGAUUUGCCAGAGUUUUAAUCGGGGAGUCGCUGACAGAAUCCAUUCCCUACUAAGACCUACACUCUAGAGCCCUUCUUGGAGUGAAGUAAGAACUCGUGUUGAGAUUUUCUCCUCUUUCGUCAAGAUCAGAGAGAAAACCCGCAAGGGAAAAUCCGCCGCUGAUUUUGGUGAGGAAAUCGGACGAAACGCCGGGAUCUGAGAACCUUUCCAAGAACGGAGGAGGGAGAAGCCGCCAGCGUACCACGUGGCAACCAGCUAGAGGGCCGCGUGCGCCAAUCGCC